rnacentral:rRNA from 1 species
GACGAGCGCUGGCGGCGUGCUUAACACAUGCAAGUCGAACGGAAAGGCCCUGCUUUUGUGGGGUGCUCGAGUGGCGAACGGGUGAGUAACACGUGAGUAACCUGCCCUUGACUUUGGGAUAACUUCAGGAAACUGGGGCUAAUACCGGAUAGGAGCUCCUGCUGCAUGGUGGGGGUUGGAAAGUUUCGGCGGUUGGGGAUGGACUCGCGGCUUAUCAGCUUGUUGGUGGGGUAGUGGCUUACCAAGGCUUUGACGGGUAGCCGGCCUGAGAGGGUGACCGGCCACAUUGGGACUGAGGUACGGCCCAGACUCCUACGGGAGGCAGCAGUGGGGAAUAUUGCACAAUGGGCGGAAGCCUGAUGCAGCAACGCCGCGUGCGGGAUGACGGCCUUCGGGUUGUAAACCGCUUUCGCCUGUGACGAAGCGUGAGUGACGGUAAUGGGUAAAGAAGCACCGGCUAACUACGUG